rnacentral:rRNA from 1 species
UUGGAGGGCAAGUCUGGUGCCAGCAGCCGCGGUAAUUCCAGCUCCAAUAGCGUAUAUUAAAGUUGUUGCAGUUAAAAAGCUCGUAGUUGAAUUUCGGGAUUUAUCCGUCGGUCGGGCUUUUGGGUCUGUACUGGCGUGAUGGAUUCCUACCUUCUGAAUAACCGGCAUGUCAUUUAUUUGGUGCGCUGGGGAAGCAGGACUGUUACCUUGAAAAAAUUAGAGUGCUUAAAGCAGGCUAUUGCCUGAAUACAUUAGCAUGGAAUAAUGAAAUAGGACGGCAUGGUUCUAUUUUGUUGGUUUCUAGGAUCACCGUAAUGAUUAAUAGGGAUAGUUGGGGGCAUUAGUAUUCAAUUGUCAGAGGUGAAAUUCUUGGAUUUAUUGAAGACUAACUACUGUCGAAGACGAUUUAGUUCCAACGGAAGUAGCUUUUUCAUUUAAUCAAGAACGAAAGUUAGGGGAUCGAAGACGAUCAGAUACCGUCGUAGUCUUAACCAU